GAUCUGGCUCAGGAUGAACGCUAGCGACAGGCCUAACACAUGCAAGUCGAGGGGCAGCGGGAGUGAAGCUUGCUUCACUUGCCGGCGACCGGCGCACGGGUGAGUAACGCGUAUGCAACCUGCCUGUAACAGGGGGAUAACCCGGAGAAAUCCGGACUAAGACCGCAUAACGCUGAGAAGCCGCAUGACUUUUCAGCCAAAUAUUCAUAGGUUACAGAUGGGCAUGCGUCCGAUUAGCCAGUUGGCGGGUAACGGCCCACCAAAGCGACGAUCGGUAGGGGUUCUGAGAGGAAGGUCCCCCACAUUGGAACUGAGACACGGUCCAGACUCCUACGGGAGGCAGCAGUGAGGAAUAUUGGUCAAUGGACGGAAGUCUGAACCAGCCAUGUCGCGUGAAAAGGAUGAAGGUACUAUGUAUUGUAAACUUCUUUUGCCUGGGGGUAAAGUGGGUCACGCGUGGCCUAUUGCAAGUACCAGGCGAAUAAGCAUCGGCUAACUCCGUGCCAGCAGCGGC
rnacentral:rRNA from 1 species